rnacentral:lncRNA from 1 species
AUGAUCACCCCCCGAGGGCACCCAAAAUCCCCACAGCCAGCCGGGGGGGUUGCGAGGCUGACCCUGUCUGUGCUGCUGGGGGGAGCCCGUGCAAGCAGCCCCCAGGGUCCUGUGCCCUUGUUGCUGGGGGUGCUGGGGGUCCCGGCCCUCGGGGGCACCUGGGGGUGGGUGUCCAUGGUCCAGUGCUGUCACAGUGAUGGUGGGCACAGGGCCAGGCUCGCUGGGCUGCCAGCAGCAAACAGGGGGGUUGGGCUGCCGAGGGCCCCCACAUGUGCAGGGAGGGGAGUUCCCGCAGGCCCGGAGUGCAGAGUGCACAGGCACACAGGUGAACACGCACACCAUACAGACACACACACACACCCACCAUACAGACACACACCACACACACACACCAUACAGGCACACACACACACACACACACCCUACAGACACACACACACCAUACAGACACACACACACACCCACCAUACAGACACACACCACAAACACACACCAUACAGGCACACACACACACACACACACACCCUACAGACACACACACACCAUACAGACACACACACACACCCACCAUACAGACACACACCACAAACACACACCAUACAGGCACACACACACACACCAUACAGACACACACACACACACCCACCAUACAGACACACACCACAAACACCAUACAGACACACACACACCAUACAGACACACACACACACAUACCAUACAGACACACACCACAAACACCAUACAGACACACACCACAAACACACACACCAUACACACACACACACACACCCCCACCAUACAGACACACACCACAAACACCAUACAGACACACCACAAACACCAUACAGACACACACACACACACACCAUACAGGCACACACACACACACACACACACCCUACAGACACACACACACCAUACAGACACACACACACACCCACCAUACAGACACACACCACAAACACACACCAUACAGGCACACACACACACACCAUACAGACACACACACACACACCAUACAGACACACACCACAAACACACACCAUACAGGCACACACACACACACACACACACCCUACAGACACACACACACCAUACAGACACACACACACACCCACCAUACAGACACACACCACAAACACACACCAUACAGGCACACACACACACACCAUACAGACACACACACACACACCAUACAGACACACACCACAAACACACACCAUACAGGCACACACCACACACACACACACCAUACAGACACACACACCACACCAUACAGACACACACACACACACCAUACAGACACACACCACAAACACCAUACAGACACACACCACAAACACACACACCAUGCACACACACACACACACCCCCACCAUACAGACACACACCACAAACACCAUACAGACACACCACAAACACACACACACCAUACAGACACACACCACAAACACACACAUACACACCACAAACACACACACACCAUACAGACACACACACACACCCAUACAGACACACACCACAAACACACACACACUACGUACACACCACAAAUACACACACCCCAUACAGACACACACACACCACAAACACAUGCACACAAACACCACAAACACACACACACCACAAACACACACACAGAAACACACACAGACACACACACACACACAGACUCAAAGUCACACACACAGACACACCCACACACAGAUGCACAUACACAGACACACGGACACACAGCUGCACACAGACACACAGAUACACACACCCCCUCUGCCGGCAGUGACGCCCUGGCAUGCAGCCUCACACACAGACACACAUAGUCACAUGGACAGACACACAGACACCGACAGACUCAUGGACACACAGACACAUGGACAGACACAGACAGACACACAGAUAGUAAUGCAGCCAGACGCACAGACACACAAAGACACAGGGACAGACACAUGGACAGACACAGACAGACACACAGAUAGUAAUGCAGCCAGACGCACAGACACACAAAGACACAGGGACAGACACAUGGACAGACACAGACAGACACACAGAUAG